GGAGAAGAUGCAUGCCAGAAGACCAGCUUCAUCCAUGAAGCCUGAGUUGUGUGCUGAUCAAAGAGUUAAUCUUGGCAUGGCAACCCCUCUUGACAUGACUUUUAGCCUCUGAGAUUAUGGCUUUGAUCCUUGGACCAGCUUGAUCCUGCAUUCUUACAUUAGUGGGUGAUAGCACUGAACUUCCAGAAGCAGUGGGCUUCAUUUCAUCUGACAAAUGCUUGUAAAGUGGGUUCUGCCCUUACAAGUAAAGAACAGAGGAGCCAAAGGUUGGCUUGGAGUACUCAGAGACAGCACUGCUUGACAGAAGAUACCCUGCAAUCCUAAUGUCCUCAAAAGUACAACGCCCAAGAGUAUGAACUUCCUGGAGCUGCUUUGCACUGGAUGCAAUCCUGGUCUAAGUAGAGAGGCCUUGCAAGUGGAGCUGGAGGUCUUGGGUAGAGGAGAACAUGGACUCGGUGGUGCCAGCAUUCCUCAGAUGCAGCCCGAUGGUUCCCAAACUGGCAUUUCGAGAAGCUGACUUCUACCUUCGGCUCCCAGUAUCAGUGAGAUAAUUACCGUGUAUCCGAAGCUGCUUUAUUUCAUAAUAAGGAAGGUGGGCCUGGAUAACCACAGAAGAGGUAAACUCCUGCAGAAAAUGUUGUCAGAACCUGUAUUCUUAAGAGAUGUUCUCAGCAAUGUACAGUAAACUUUGCAACUUGGAAAUGCAUUUUUCCAUGAGUGAAUCUAUGAAAGUUGUUUCAGAAUUUAAAGUUCAGUGACACAGUGGUUACUCCACGUACCUUUGGCAACAUGUUAUGGAAAACUUGAAGGACUGGCAAGAUGGCUCAGCAGGUAAAGCUGUUUGACACCAAAAUCUGACCUCCUGUAUUCCAUCACCAAAUUUAACUGUGACACAGAAGGACUAACUUCAGAGAGUUGACCUCUGAACUUCCCACUCAUGCUGUGGGUUUUGUGUGCCAACACUCACACACAUAGCUGCCUACUUCAGUCAAUGACAGUGUGCUUUUAGAGCUAACAUCUUGCUACAUUUGAGAAGGUGUCUUUUGUUUGCUGCCUUGAAGUCUUCAAGCUGUCUUAUGGAAGACUGAAGAAUAU
rnacentral:lncRNA from 1 species